ACGCCCCGCAAGGGGAGUGGCAGACGGGUGAGUAACGCGUGGGAACAUACCCUUUCCUGCGGAAUAGCUCCGGGAAACUGGAAUUAAUACCGCAUACGCCCUACGGGGGAAAGAUUUAUCGGGGAAGGAUUGGCCCGCGUUGGAUUAGCUAGUUGGUGGGGUAAAGGCCUACCAAGGCGACGAUCCAUAGCUGGUCUGAGAGGAUGAUCAGCCACAUUGGGACUGAGACACGGCCCAAACUCCUACGGGAGGCAGCAGUGGGGAAUAUUGGACAAUGGGCGCAAGCCUGAUCCAGCCAUGCCGCGUGAGUGAUGAAGGCCUUAGGGUUGUAAAGCUCUUUCACCGGAGAAGAUAAUGACGGUAUCCGGAGAAGAAGCCCCGGCUAACUUCGUGCCAGCAGCCGCGGUAAUACGAAGGGGGC
rnacentral:rRNA from 1 species